AGCUCCAAUAGCGUAUACUAAAGUUGUUGCAGUUAAAAAGCUCGUAGUUGAAUUUCUGGUCGUGGCCACCGGUCCGCCCUUCACGGGGUGUGUACCAGGUGGCUGCGUCCAUCCUCGGGGAGAGCAUAUCGGGCAUUAAGUUGUCUGGUGUGGGAUCCUCGUCAUUUACUGUGAGCAAAAUAGAGUGUUCAAAGCAGGCUUAGGCCGUUGAAUACAUUAGCAUGGAAUAAUAAGAUAGGACCUUGGUCUAUUUUGUUGGUUUGCAUUCCAAGGUAAUGAUUAAUAGGGAUAGUUGGGGGUAUUCGUAUUCAAUUGUCAGAGGUGAAAUUCUUGGAUUUAUGGAAGACGAACUACUGCGAAAGCAUUUACCAAGGAUGUUUUCAUUAAUCAAGAACGAAAG
rnacentral:rRNA from 1 species